GGGACAGUAGGUUGGUCGUGCCACCGGUACGUACUGGUCUCACUGAUUCCUCCUUCCUGAAGAACCGUAAUGCCAUUAAUUUGGUGUUGCGGGGAAACAGGACUGUUACUUUGAAAAAAUUAGAGUGUUUAAAGCAAGCUAACGCUUGAAUACAUUAGCAGGGAAUAAUGAAAUAGGACGAUCGAUCCUAUUUUGUUGGUUUCUAGGAUUGACGUA
rnacentral:rRNA from 1 species